rnacentral:rRNA from 1 species
GAUGAACGCUGGCGGCGUGCCUAAUACAUGCAAGUCGAGCGAACAGAUGAGGAGCUUGCUCCUCUGACGUUAGCGGCGGACGGGUGAGUAACACGUGGAUAACCUACCUAUAAGACUUGGCUAACUUCGGGAAAUCGGAGCUAAUACCGGAUAAUAUAUUGAACCUCAUGGUUCAAUAGUGAAAGACGGUUUUGCUGUCACUUAUAGAUGGAUCCGCGCCGCAUUAGCUAGUUGGUAAGGUAACGGCUUACCAAGGCGAGGCUGCGUAGCCGACCUGAGAGGGUGAUCGGCCACACCGGAGCUGAGACACGGUCCAGACUCCUACGGGAGGCAGCAGUAGGGAAUAUUCCGCGAUGGGCGAAAGAAUGACGGAGCAACGCCGCGUGAGUGAUGAAGGUCUUCGGAUCGUAAGACUCUGUUAUUAGGGAAGAACAAAUGUGUAAGUAACUAUGCACGUCUUGACGGUACCUAAUCAGAAAGCCACGGCUAACUACGUG